GCCACGGUGGUCUAGCGGUUAGAACACUGGCCUUGUAAUCCUGGGGUCCCGGGUUCGAUUCCCGGCGGUGCCC
rnacentral:tRNA from 1 species